GAAACGAUCUCCCAGACCCAGAAGGAGAUCCUGGCACCAACAGGACCUGAGCUGAAAAAUCAAAAGAGCUGAAUUCUAUCCCAAAAGAAUGCUGUGUGCAUAAUGUAUGAAGUUUUCAGAAAAACAGUCUUGAACAGACAAUUCGUCUGACCUUGGAUAAACCAGCGAUGAAAGGCACUACAACUCCCAUUUGGUAGAAUUCCAGCCUCUGGAGUACCCCAGACUUGGCAGCUUUACCCUUCUCUGCCCAUGGAAGUACUUGAUCCAUUCUGCUCCUUAAGCUGAAAAUCCUACUUGGUCCAGGGACUCACUCCCCUGUGCUUCAGGGACUGAUGGAGCUAAAACCGCCACCCUUUCCUGGCACUCAAUCACAGAAAAUUCUUGAUAGACCCUUGAACUGCAAGGGGAUCCAGUCAGUCAAUCCUAAAGGAAAUCAGUCCUGAAUUGGAAAGACUGAGGCUGAAGCUCCAAUACUUUGGCCACUUGAUGGGAAGAACUAACUCCUUAGAAAAGACCCGAUGCUGGGAAAGACCAAAGGCAAGAAGAGAAGGAGACAACAGAGAAUAAGAUGGUUGAAUGGCAUCACCGACUCGAUGGACAUGAGUAAGACAGAGCAGAGUUUAUUUCUGAGCUCUCCCUGGAGUUUCAAAGACACCUGAGUUAUUACAAGAAGUAUGGAAUGAAUGUUUAGAGCACUAUAGGGUAAUUAGACCACUGCAGAACAUAACAAAGAAACACCUAAUUGUCAUCUGGCCAGUCUCUCAUUCCUCACCACACACCAUCAGUCCAGCGUUAUGACAUCCAUCCAAGCCUUCCCCACAUCUCAGCUCUAGGCAUGUGUUUGUGGUCCAGGAAUGGUCUUGUGAUUCAGCAGUAAGCUUCUAGCUCAGGUGUAGGCUUCUGAUUCCGGGUGUGGGCUUAUGAUCCAGAAGUGGACUUAGACUUGUGGUCCAGGAGUGGUCUUAUGUUCAGUGGGAACUUGUGUUUCAGGUAUGAGCUUGUGGUCCAGAUGUGAAUUUGUGAUCUCAAAUGUGGGCUUGUGGUUCAAGCUUGGCCAGCGAGUAUGCUGUAUCCACCUAGCCCUGGGCCAUGUUGAUUAUAUUAACAAUGGGCCUAUGACAGAAGCCAUGCAAAUCAGAGACUUUCCCAAGUUUGCUAGUAUUAUUGACACACAGAUAAUCUCUUUUUGCUGGACUCACUGAGAAGGUAAACCUGGAGACUGAGAAUCCAUUAUAUUCUUUAAAAACAGCUGCCUGAAAGGGAAACUGAUGUCUAGGAAGAUCGAUCUAGAGAGAAAGAAUAACGCUUGCCUCUGAAUGGAUGCGCCAGCUGGAUGUGAAGCUAGGGCAACCACCUGGCCUUUUCUGUUUCAUGAGCCAAUGAAAUUCCUAGUUUUGCUUCUGUUACUUGCAACCGGAAAAGUCUUGGUUAAUCCAGUUCCUACUGGGGAGGAAAUGGAAGCAGUGAAAAUUUUAUUUUCUUGGGUUCCAAAAUUAUUGCGGACAGUGAUUGCAGCCAUGAAAUCAAAAGAUACUUGCCCUUUGGAAGGAAAUCUAUGACAAACCUACACAGUGUAUUAAAGAGCAGAGAUACUCUUUGCCUACAAAGGUACAUAUUGUCAAAGCAAUGGUUUUUCCAGUAGUCAUGUAUAGAUAUGAGAGUUGGACCUUAAAGAAGGAUGGCCACCAAGGAAUUGAUGUUUUUGAAUUGUGGCUUUGGAGAAGACUCUUGAGAGUCCCUUGGACCAUAGGGAGAUCAAACCAGUUAAUCCUAAAGAAAAUCAACCCUGAGUAUUCACUGGAAGAACUGAUACUGAAGCUGAAGCUCCAAUUCUUUGGCCACCUGAUAUGAAGAGCCAACUCAUUAAAAAAGACCCUGAUGCUGGGAAAUACUGAAGACAAACGGAGAAGGGGGAAGUAGAGGUUGAAAUGGUU
ensembl:lncRNA